rnacentral:sRNA from 1 species
AGACUAUGAAUCGAAACCCAGGCUCCUGCAGGCACUGGCACAGCUACAGCGAGGGCCUCGGCCAUCCAAGGGUCUCCCAGCAGCCUUGGAAGUGGAGUUCACUCUCCCCUUGAGGAAGCUGAAGGUCAGAAAGGGAGAGACGAUUGCCUGAGGUCACACAGCUGAUGGACAGUAGAGCUGGGUUAUGAACUCGAAUGCAUCUGAGUAUACAGGGAUGCUGAGAACUUGCUGGAGUCACAGCCACUGGGAUCCUUUCUCAUCAGGGUCAGUCACAGCCAUGUGGGCUACACACUCUCCUACAAGUAAGGCCUGGGCCGGGGGCCAGGGCAGGGGCAGGUGUGCUCUUGGGUUUCCUUGGAGGGAGCAAGGGGUGCUUCAUGUCAUAGCUUCUCAGAAAGCAGCAGUAACUGAGGCUGUGGAUCUGAGAACGGGAGCUGCUAGCCAGGCAAUGAGUGAAGCUUUUGUCUGUGGUGGCAUGUUUUAUCUGAGGUCAGCCUUUGUACUCCUGUGUUAUAAAUGGGGGAAACUGAGGCACAGCGAGGUUAGUAACCUGCUGGGUGUUGCAUGGCUAGUGAGUGAAGAAGCCUGCAUGGGAACCUGGGGUAGUCUGGCUGUAGCAGUGACGCUGCCAGCCCAAGGGCUGGGGACUUGGGGCAGGGAUGAUGGGGAGUAGGAUGUCCCAGCCCCGGCAGUGUCUCCGCAGAGCCCAAAGCAGCUGCUGCCAUUUCAUGGUGAAGCUCUUGGAUGAUGGGACUUUCAUGAUCCCCGGGGAGAAGGUGGUCCACACUUCGCUGGACGCCCUGGUCACCUUCCACCAGCAGAAGCCAAUUGAGCCACGCAGGGAGCUGCUGACACAGCCCUGCAGGCAGAAGGAUCCCGCAAAUGUGGAUUAUGAGGAUCUCUUCCUCUACUCCAACGCUGUGGCCGAGGAAGCUGCCUGCCCGGUGUCUGCCCCUGAGGAGACGGAGUCUUGCUUUGUCGA